rnacentral:lncRNA from 1 species
AGAGGGACGGAGGGCAGGCUUCUAGAUUGGGGAGAUGCCAGGCAGGCACUAACCUGCCUGUCUAUCUAACCCGGCAAAGGGUAGUAUUCAGUAAGGUGCCCGUGGCUUUUCACUCUCUCUUUCCUUGCCAGAUCCUGCUCAUCUCUGACUACUUCUACGCCUUCCUGCGACGGGAGUAUUACCUCACGCAUGGUCUCUACUUGACUGCCAAGGACGGCACUGAGGCCAUGCUUGUGCUCAAGUAGCCCUGCUGGCACAGAGCUGCAUGGACAAGAGGGGGAAGGGCCAGAGCUGGGCCAGGUCCCUCAUCCGGAGUUGCCAGCAGGCGAGUCCUCAGGCAGAAGACGUUCAAGUCCAGGGCUCCAAACCUCUGGCACCAAAGGGGACUCGUAGCUGGCAACAAGGCCCAUGGGGAGAAGCUAGGAGCACCCCACUUGGACCCCCACUUUGUGACUGUGCAUAGAAAGGAAGGGGAGCAGCCAGUGAGCAGGGCUUUAUAGGUUGUGACUACUUAAUAAAUGUGUGGGUCUUCUUUUUC